AGCAGCCGCGGUAAUUCCAGCUCCAAUAGCGUAUAUUAAAGUUGUUGCAGUUAAAAAGCUCGUAGUUGAAUUUCGGGAUUGACGUGAUGGUCAUGCCUUAAGGGGUAUGAACUGUUGCAGUUGAUUUCUCACCUUCUGGAAAAACUUGAUGUCCUUUAUUGGGUGUCUUGCGGAUCCAGGACCUUUACCUUGAAAAAAUUAGAGUGUUUAAAGCAGGCAUUUUUGCUCGAAUACAUUAGCAUGGAAUAAUAGAAUAGGACGGCAUGGUUCUAUUUUGUUGGUUUCUAGGAUCACCGUAAUGAUUAAUAGGGAUAGUUGGGGGCAUUAGUAUUCAAUUGUCAGAGGUGAAAUUCUUGGAUUUAUUGAAGACUAACUACUGCGAAAGCAUUUGCCAAGGAUGUUUUCAUUAAUCAAGAACGAAAGUUAGGGGAUCGAAGACGAUCAGAUACCGUCGUAGUCUUAACCAUAAACUACGCCGACUAGGGAUCGGAUGAUGUUAAUUUUUAAUGA
rnacentral:sRNA from 1 species